rnacentral:rRNA from 1 species
CCUACGGGGGGCAGCAGUGGGGAAUAUUGGACAAUGGGCGGAACCCUGAUCCAGCGACGCCGCGUGAGGGAAGAAGGAUUUCGGUAUGUAAAGCUCUAUCAGCAGGGAAGAAAGAAAUGACGGUACCUGACUCAGAAGCCCCGGCUAACUACGUGCCAGCAGACGCGGUAAUAAGUAGGGGGCAAGCGUUAUCCGCAGUUACUGGGUGGAAAGGGAGCGUAGACGGCGAUGCAAGUCUGAAGUGAAAGGCGGGGUACCAACCCCUGAACUGCUUUGGAAACUGUAUGGCUGGAGUGCAGGAGAGGUAAGUGGAAUUCCUAGUGUAGCGGUGAAAUGCGUAGAUAUUAGGAAGAACACCAGUGGCGAAGGCGGCUUACUGGACUGUAACUGACGUUGAGGCUCGAAAGCGUGGGGAGCAAACAGGAUUAGAUACCCUGGUAGUC